UGGCGGUGAGGGUUAUGGCAGUGGCGCAAGUGGUUUCGGGAGCCAAGGUUACCAGAAUGCCGGAGCGGGUGGCUUUCACAACGUUGGUGCUCACCACAAUAAAGUUACAUCUAUAAACCAAGCUGAAGAUUCUGGCUUCCACAACGUUGGUGGUGGAUCAGCGAUGGAUAAUGGGGGUUAUGCUGGAAACGGAUAUAAUGGAUUUGAAAACGGUGCUUCACAAUUUGGAAAUGGUUUUGGAUCUGGCAGUCAAGGCAUGAUAAUAUAACUAUCAAAAUAUUUAAGACGCUUUAAUUGUAAUCUUUAGUAUUAAUAAACUAUUUUUAUAUGA